GGGGUACACGAGCGGCGAACGGGUGAGUAACACGUGGGUGAUCUGCCCUGCACUCUGGGAUAAGCUUGGGAAACUGGGUCUAAUACCGGAUAUGACCGCAUGCCGCAUGGUGUGUGGUGGAAAGAUUUAUCGGUGCAGGAUGGGCCCGCGGCCUAUCAGCUUGUUGGUGGGGUAAUGGCCUACCAAGGCGACGACGGGUAGCCGACCUGAGAGGGUGACCGGCCACACUGGGACUGAGACACGGCCCAGACUCCUACGGGAGGCAGCAGUGGGGAAUAUUGCACAAUGGGCGGAAGCCUGAUGCAGCGACGCCGCGUGAGGGAUGAAGGCCUUCGGGUUGUAAACCUCUUUCAGCAGGGACGAAGCGUGAGUGACGGUACCUGCAGAAGAAGCACCGGCUAACUACGUGCCAGCAGCCGCGGUAAUACGUAGGGUGCGAGCGUUGUCCGGAAUUACUGGGCGUAAAGAGUUCGUAGGCGGUUUGUCGCGUCGUUUGUGAAAACCCGGGGCUCAACUUCGGGCUUGCAGGCGAUACGGGCAGACUUGAGUGUUUCAGGGGAGACUGGAAUUCCUGGUGUAGCGGUGAAAUGCGCAGAUAUCAGGAGGAACACCGGUGGCGAAGGCGGGUCUCUGGGAAACAACUGACGCUGAGGAACGAAAGCGUGGGUAGCAAACAGGAUUAGAUACCCUGGUAGUCCACGCCGUAAACGGUGGGCGCUAGGUGUGGGUUCCUUCCACGGGAUCUGUGCCGUAGCUAACGCAUUAAACGCCCCGCCUGGGG
rnacentral:rRNA from 1 species